rnacentral:rRNA from 1 species
UCGGAGACGGUGCUUGUGCGGGCGGUGAUGCGACACGCGUAUCCGAAAGACUCUCGGCAACGGAUAUCUCGGCUCUUGCAUCGAUGAAGAACGUAGCGAAAUGCGAUACUUGGUGUGAAUUGCAGAAUCCCGUGAACCAUCGAGUCUUUGAACGCAAGUUGCGCCCGAAGCCAUUAGGCUGAGGGCACGCCUGCCUGGGUGUCGCCCAUCGUUGCCCCAUUGCUUUGGCCUCGUGCUAGGCACCGAGCUGGGCGAAUGCUGGCUUCCCGCGAGCGACGCCUCACGGUUGGUUGAAAACUGAGUCCGUGGUGGAGGGCGGCGCCGUGACGGAUGGUGGUUGUU